AUGAUCUCGCUGCUUUGGCAAGGUCUCCAUGGAGUAAAACUAUUGUGUCAGUCAUCAUCGAGUGUUUUGUUUGUUGUGAGAAUGAAGGAAACCAUGCUAAGGCUAAGAAGAAGAAAAUUCAGUUUAGGUAGGAUAGUAGAUGUAAAUUACUCCAGUUUUUGGUUGCAUGCUCGAAGUAACUGUAUUAAGCUAGCUCAUCAUAAAUCAUAUUUGGUUCUAGGAGGAAGAAGCCUCGGACUUUGUUGUAAGUGCAUCAUAUUUUCAGAAUUGUGUUAUUGUCACAGUUCAUCAUUACUACAAAGUAUGCCUACUGGCUUACAUUUUCUUCUCCAAAUCUUUGAGAAGUGUGCGGAUGCCAGUCUAAAUCUUGCUAGGCUAUUUGACGUGUGGCUUGUUUAG
rnacentral:rRNA from 1 species